AAUGAUAGAUGGCAUACGCAGAAAACGCAAUUACGGAACGAUAUACAAAAAAAGGGGUUCAAAGUGCUGCAGAAUGGAGGACGGAUUUAUCAGGACUCCAGCUUUGUUAUGAUUGCUCAGUUGAUAUCCAUCACAAUAAUAAUCGCUCCUGCACUUUUGAACUCUCAUUAGUAAAUGAGUUGCCAGAGUGCGUCUUGUGUGAAAUGGCAUCCUGAUGCUGACAUGUGAGACGAAGGAUCUUGACCGCGACGAGCGUGUCUCAUGUCGAGGACUCGGUUACUAAACCAGCCCAACUCCGUUAUUAAUGGAUGACCGUCUGAUUAAAAACGCAAAUGGCAGAUGCUCUGACUCACCGUCUCCAUGGCUACUGAUAAUGCCAACUUGGUCAAAAUUAACGUUGCCGAUGGCCCGUAUCAUGUAUCAUUCGAUGAGGGGUGUCAGUCGUGCCAGAAGAGUGGCCCGGUUACACCCGAUACCCAUCCUGGCAGGUGGGGAGGGCUCUAAUCGUCAUAUGGACCGACAGGUAGCUGCAACGAAAUGACUAUUUUAAAAAUUCAAGAGCUUCACUCAGCUUCCCUCAUACAGGUGAUCCGCGGCUCGUGUUUCGACUUUUCCAGAAGUUAAUCAGGUGAAUGAAGAGUGGACGGGAGAGGGGACGACUCAGCCAGGGCUGACUGGUCAACAAAGAGCCCUUGGGAUAGAUUUCACUCUGGCUAUUCGGUUUGAAUAGAUGUAACCAGAGCCGCCAGACUAACACCACUGGCAUAAUUUAAAAAUAUAGAGCCGUUUUUUUCCACUGAGGUGUCAGUAUAGGCUUCAACUAUCAACAGCAGGUAAGUGGACUCGGGGGUUGAGGGUAAC